GAAUGUGAGGGAGAUGUGGCUGUGCCACCUGUCACUCGAUUGCCACUAGGGUUCAUUUGACUCAUCUGUCUGGCUAGGUCGGUGUUCUCUUCCUCAGUCCCUGAUCCAUGAGAGUCGCCUCUGAGGCUGGGCUGGUUGAAGAGGAAGACCAACUCACAGAGGAGGACUUCUACUUUGUUAAGCAUAUGUGAGGAGCUGCAUUUCCAUGAUAGAACCUCCAAAAAAGAAAUAUUCAUGGUAAAAGCAACAUAUGGAUCAGU
ensembl:misc_RNA 7SK 7SK RNA